GACGAACGCUGGCGGCGUGCUUAACACAUGCAAGUCGAACGGAAAGGCCCCUUCGGGGGUACUCGAGUGGCGAACGGGUGAGUAACACGUGAGUAACCUGCCCUUGACUUCGGGAUAACUUCAGGAAACUGGGGCUAAUACCGGAUAGGAAUCCUUGCUGCAUGGUGGGGGUUGGAAAGCUUCGGCGGUUUUGGAUGGACUCGCGGCUUAUCAGCUUGUUGGUGGGGUAGUGGCUUACCAAGGCCUUGACGGGUAGCCGGCCUGAGAGGGCGACCGGCCACAUUGGGACUGAGAUACGGCCCAGACUCCUACGGGAGGCAGCAGUGGGGAAUAUUGCACAAUGGGCGGAAGCCUGAUGCAGCAACGCCGCGUGCGGGAGGACGGCCUUCGGGUUGUAAACCGCUUUCAGCAGGGGCGAAGCUUGUGGUGACGGUACCUGCAGAAGAAGCACCGGCUAACUACGUG
rnacentral:rRNA from 1 species